rnacentral:rRNA from 1 species
GACGAACGCUGGCGGCGUGCUUAAUACAUGCAAGUCGAACGGAAAGGCCAUGCUUUUGUGUGGUGCUCGAGUGGCGAACGGGUGAGUAACACGUGAGUAACCUGCCCUAGACUUUGGGAUAACUUGAGGAAACUGGGGCUAAUAAUGGAUAGGAGCUCAUGCUGCAUGUUGGGGGUUGGAAAGUUUCGGCGGUUGGGGAUGGAUUCGCGGCUUAGCAGCCUGUUGGUGGGGUAGUGGCUUACCAAGGCGUUGACGGGUAGCCGGCCUGAGAGUGUGACGGGCCACAGUGGGACUGAGAUACGGGCCGGACUCCUUCGGGGGGCAGCAGUGGGGAAUAUUGCACGAUGGGCGGAAGCCUGAUGCAGCGACGCCGCGUGCGGGAUGACUGCCUUCGGGGUGUAAACCGCUUGCGCCUGUGACGAAGCGUGUGUGACGGUAAUGGGUAAAGAAGCACCGGCUAACUACGUG